AUUGAACGCUGGCGGCAUGCCUAACACAUGCAAGUCGAACGGCAGCGCGGGUAGCUUGCUACCUGGCGGCGAGUGGCGGACGGGUGAGUAAUGCAUAGGAAUCUGCCCAGUAGCGGGGGAUAGCCCGGGGAAACCCGGAUUAAUACCGCAUACGCCCUACGGGGGAAAGCAGGGGAUCUUCGGACCUUGCACUAUUGGAUGAGCCUAUGUCUGAUUAGCUAGUUGGUGGGGUAACGGCCUACCAAGGCGACGAUCAGUAGCUGGUCUGAGAGGACGAUCAGCCACACCGGAACUGAGACACGGUCCGGACUCCUACGGGAGGCAGCAGUGGGGAAUAUUGGACAAUGGGGGAAACCCUGAUCCAGCAAUGCCGCGUGUGUGAAGAAGGCCUGCGGGUUGUAAAGCACUUUCAGUUGGGAAGAAACAGCAGCCGGCUAAUAUCCGGUUGUCUUGACGUAACCAACAGAAGAAGCACCGGCUAACUCCGUGCCAGCAGCCG
rnacentral:rRNA from 1 species